AGCGAACGCUGGCGGCAGGCCUAACACAUGCAAGUCGAACGAAGUCUUCGGGCUUAGUGGCGGACGGGUGAGUAACACGUGGGAACGUGCCUUUAGGUUCGGAAUAACUCAGGGAAACUUGUGCUAAUACCGAAUGUGCCCUUCGGGGGAAAGAUUUAUCGCCUUUAGAGCGGCCCGCGUCUGAUUAGCUAGUUGGUGAGGUAAAGGCUCACCAAGGCUACGAUCAGUAGCUGGUCUGAGAGGAUGACCAGCCACAUUGGGACUGAGACACGGCCCAAACUCCUACGGGAGGCAGCAGUGGGGAAUUUUGCGCAAUGGGCGAAAGCCUGACGCAGCCAUGCCGCGUGGAUGAUGAAGGUCUUAGGAUUGUAAAAUCCUUUCACCGGUGAAGAUAAUGACUGUAGCCGGAGAAGAAGCCCCGGCUAACUUCGUGCCAGCCGCCGCAGUAAGAC
rnacentral:rRNA from 1 species